GAUGAACGCUGGCGGCGUGCUUAACACGUGCAAGUCGAACGGAAAGGCUCCUGCUUGCAGGGGUACUCGAGUGGCGAACGGGUGAGUAACACGUGGGUGAUCUGCCCUGCACUUCGGGAUAAGCUUGGGAAACUGGGUCUAAUACCGGAUAGGACCGCAUUUUGGAUGGUGUGGUGGAAAGUUUUUUCGGUGUGGGAUGAGCUCGCGGCCUAUCAGCUUGUUGGUGGGGUAAUGGCCUACCAAGGCGUCGACGGGUAGCCGGCCUGAGAGGGUGUACGGCCACAUUGGGACUGAGAUACGGCCCAGACUCCUACGGGAGGCAGCAGUGGGGAAUAUUGCACAAUGGGCGCAAGCCUGAUGCAGCGACGCCGCGUGGGGGAUGACGGCCUUCGGGUUGUAAACUCCUUUCGCUAGGGACGAAGAGUAAUUGACGGUACCUGGAGAAGAAGCACCGGCUAACUACGUG
rnacentral:rRNA from 1 species